ensembl:lncRNA
CCACCAUCAUCACUCGAUUCGUCUGACUCGCAGGAUACAAUUAUCCUUACAGAGAGCCCUUCCAGAAAACGCCAGAGGGUUGAUACAGAAGCUAAACAAUUGGUGGAGUCCAUCCUUUCCACAAAACCUGGAGGGGAACGUAUACUACAAGAAUACAAUCGAACCAAGUCUUUGGUGGACCCAACCAGGAGGAAAAUGGUCAACAUACUGGCAGCUGACUUGACCGAGAAGAAUGGAACAUCACCUCCCAGGCAGUUGAAAGAAAAGUACGCCAGAGGAAUUGUGACAUUAUUCCCCUACCUCAGUGACCCAUACGCUAAGAAUGGCUAUGAGCAUUACUAUGAUGGGGAGAGUGGCACUGGGUACUUGGCUUGGAGGAUUAAAACCAUUCAAAGAUCUGCUGCUAAAGACAGACGAUCAUCAUUUGGAGAAUCAGCGGAAGGAUCAUCCGGUA